GUCGAGCGAGAAGACGUAGCAAUACGUUUGUAAAGCGGCGAACGGGUGAGGAAUACAUGGGUAACCUACCCUCGAGUGGGGAAUAACUAGCCGAAAGGUUAGCUAAUACCGCAUAUGAUUCCUGGACUGCGGUUCGGGAAAGAAAGCGAUACCGUGGGUAUCGCGCUCUUGGAUGGGCUCAUGUCCUAUCAGCUUGUUGGUGAGGUAAUGGCUCACCAAGGCUUCGACGGGUAGCUGGUCUGAGAGGACGAUCAGCCACACUGGCACUGCGACACGGGCCAGACUCCUACGGGAGGCAGCAGUAAGGAAUAUUGCGCAAUGGGCGAAAGCCUGACGCAGCGACGCCGCGUGGGGGAUGAAGGUCUUCGGAUUGUAAACCCCUUUCGGCAGGGAAGAUGGGACGGGCAACCGUUCGGACGGUACCUGCAGAAGCAGCCACGGCUAACUUCGUGCCAGCAGCCGCGGUAAUACGAAGGUGGCAAGCGUUGUUCGGAUUCACUGGGCGUACAGGGAGCGUAGGCGGUUAGGUAAGCCCUCCGUGAAAUCUCCGGGCCUAACCCGGAAAGUGCAGAGGGGACUGCUUGGCUAGAGGAUGGGAGAGGAGCGCGGAAUUCCCGGUGUAGCGGUGAAAUGCGUA
rnacentral:rRNA from 1 species